AGCGAACGCUGGCGGCAGGCCUAACACAUGCAAGUCGAACGAACCUUUCGGGGCUCGUGGCGGACGGGCGCGUAACACGUGGGAACGUGCCCUUAGGGUCGGAAUAACUCAGGGAAACUUGUGCUAAUACCGAAUGUGCCCUUCGGGGGCAGGAUUAAUCGCCUUUAGAGCGGCCCGAGUCCGAUUAGCUAGUUGGUUGAGGUAAUGGCUCACCAAGGCUACACUCAGUAGCUGGUCUGAGAGGAGGAGCACGCACACUGGGACUGAGACGCGGCCCAGACUCUUACGGGAGGCAGCAGUGGGGAAUCGUGCGAAAUGGCCGAAAGCCUGACGGAGCCCUGCCGCGUGAAUGCUGAAGGUCGUAGGAUUGUAAAAUUCUUUCACCUGUGACGAUAAUGACGGUACCCAGAGAAGAAGCCCCGGCUAACUUCGUG
rnacentral:rRNA from 1 species